rnacentral:ncRNA from 1 species
GGCAGCUCGCCUCGAUUGGAGGUGUGUUAUUUGUGAAAGAUUUAAUGUCGUUGGUUAUCGCACCAAUCUUUGUAGGAUUGGUUCUGGAAAUGAUUUCUCGUGUGUUGGACGAGGAAGACGAUAGCCGAAAGUAAGCUGCUAUCAACACACACGCUAGAAGUCGCAACUAGUGUAAAA